UACGUAGGGGGGCAAGCGUUGUCCGGAUUUAUUGGGCGUAAAGAGCGUGUAGGCGGUUUGGUAGGUCCGUUGUGAAAACUCGAGGCUCAACCUCGAGACGCCGAUGGAAACCAUCAGACUAGAGUCCGGAAGAGGAGAGUGGAAUUCCUGGUGUAGCGGUGAAAUGCGCAGAUAUCAGGAAGAACACCCGUGGCUAAGGCGGCUCUCUAGUACGGUACUGACGCUGAGACGCGAAAAGCGUGGGGGAGCGAACGGG
rnacentral:rRNA from 1 species